UUUUCUUUUUUUGAUAUUUUAAGAUUCGGCGCCAGUGGGUCCACAGGAACGACCCAUUCAGGAGCAUUCUCAUUAGCCUGCCGAGGCAGACGUGUCUUCUCAUGAGACUAUCGAGGCGCAUCAUCUCGUCCAGGAGACUACCUCAUAUUCACCACCACACCCAUCUCAGGAGCCUACUCAGGCGCCCGUUGACACACAGGUUCAUCCUUCGGCGCCUGAGGUGGCGACUCCCGACGAGGAAGAGGUCGAGUUUUCAGACCUAACUUAGCCUGAGGUUCUGAGCGUGCCAGCGGGACCAGAUCCCAAGAAGAAGCACGUUCUAAUCAAGGGCGCACGGGCCAGGAGAGGGGAGAUGAUCAUGACUUGGAGCGCCAGGUUAUUAAGAGGAAAAAGGGUGAUGGAGACGAUGGCGAGGGCGGUGGGGAUGGCAUGAGGCUUAGGCCUAGGGAUAGUCUCCGGCAUACUACAUGUGGGACUCAUCCUCGAUAGUG